UAUGGUUACCGUAUAAUUUAUUCUUUUGAUCCGAAUGCUCAGGAUGACCUAAGAUUUCACUAUCAAUCCAAAAAAAACCAUCUACAUUAUAUUUCAACUUUUUAAAUCCAUCACAUGGGUUAUCCUGGUCAAGAUUUUACUGAAUUAAAAUACAUUGAUGCAUUAACUAUUACUUAUUUAGAGGGGUCAAUUCCAUCUUGACUCACACACUGAUUUCGUAAGUUCUUGAUUGUGCUCAAAAAUUUUUCAUCACUGAAUUAGAAAUUCAGAUAGUUCGAUACCAAAGUACAGUGAGUUGCUUGUAAGUUACCAUGAUGAUC
rnacentral:lncRNA from 1 species